UAUACUCCAGCACGAGAUGUGAGUCCACGACUCCAUACUGGCGACCGUUGCCGACCGCCCGUCCGACCCCCGGCCAAGCCCUGAGGUCGAGCGGCACGAGGAUCCCCCGUCGGCCGCCGCCCACCGACUGCUCGUCCUGUGCCGCCGCCUGCCCACCUCGCCAAGCGACAGCCCCGACGCCACGCUGCCCCGCGGCCCUACGUGGCCACGCUCCGCUAGUCCGGCGGCGGCGGGCGCGCCAAGGAGCUGGUCGGCAUAGCCGGCGGCUACCCAAUGCCCCAGUCCGCCAUGCGCUCUGGCCCCGCGCUGGCCUAAUGCAGUCCCUGGAACAUGUUGGAAGUUACAACUGCGCUGUUAUCUUCAAUUACCCUAACUACUGAAACAUAUUCCCCAUUUGGGCUCAUGGUGUAUACCGCCAGCAUCGUGUAAGGAAGAGAAAUGGGUUCAUGUGAGCAUAACAUGGUGACAAACAGGUGCAUGGCUAUAUUGAACUCUGGCACAUAUACUUGAACACAGUGCUGCAAACAUUGCCCUAAACAAAUCCAUGCACUACUAUUGCAUAAAAGAAUUUAUCUAAAUUUAACUUGAUCAGAAGAGCACUGAGAGUAAGAAACGGCCUUCACUGAGCUCUGUCAUCCAUUUCUAUUUGCCUGUUUGAUGAUAAACAAUAAGGACACCUCUCGUUCAGGUUUUUUUUUUCUUUUUUUGAAAAUGGUACUGAGAAAGUAGCACAUAACUAAGAUGAUAACCAUAUUUUGCGGUGGAUGUUGCUUACUUGCUUAGUAAAGUGUUUCUUGUGCCA